rnacentral:rRNA from 1 species
AAAUUGAAGAGUUUGAUCAUGGCUCAGAUUGAACGCUGGCGGCAGGCCUAACACAUGCAAGUCGAACGGUAACAGGAAGAAGCUUGCUUCUUUGCUGACGAGUGGCGGACGGGUGAGUAAUGUCUGGGAAACUGCCUGAUGGAGGGGGAUAACUACUGGAAACGGUAGCUAAUACCGCAUAACGUCGCAAGACCAAAGAGGGGGACCUUCGGGCCUCUUGCCAUCGGAUGUGCCCAGAUGGGAUUAGCUAGUAGGUGGGGUAAAGGCUCACCUAGGCGACGAUCCCUAGCUGGUCUGAGAGGAUGACCAGCCACACUGGAACUGAGACACGGUCCAGACUCCUACGGG